GGUUUCCCACUUAAACAUGUUGUGGAAAUCAAGCCGAAGAUAUGCCUUCAAAAAGAAAUUGAUCUUGUUUCGGUAGGAGGCCUAAUUUUUCUAAGCCGCGAUAUUAAGGAGCCGCACUCAUCAGAGGAGAGCAUCGAUUCUUGAUAUUUUCGCGGGCGAACGUUUUCCUUUCGAUGGAGAGUUCAUCUGCAAUGGUGCCUUUUCCUCUUCUCACAACCCCCAUUGAAACAACAUAUAGGCCAUGCACCAUUCCUUACAGAUUCACUUCGGAUUCUCCUCACAAACCUACUCCUGCUGAGCUCGCUUGGAUCGAAGUUUUCAGGAAGUCCAUUCCUUCUUUCAGGAAACGUGCAGAACUCGAUGAAUCCGUUCCAGAUGCUGAGGUUAGAUCAGCUAAGUUUGCAGAGAGAUAUGGUCAAAUUCUCGAUGAAUUAGAAGCAGAUCCUGAAAGCCAUGGAGGACCUCCGGAUUGUUUACUUCUGUGCAGACUACGUGAGCAGUGCUUACGAGAGCUUGGUUUCAGAGAUAUAUUUAAAAAAGUGAAGGAUGAAGAGAACACAAAAGCUUUGACCCUCUUUGAAAAAGUAGUGCAAGUUAUGGAUGAUAUUGAAGAUGGAGGAAAACGCUUAGAAAAUCUGAUAAGAGGAAUAUUUGCAGGCAAUAUAUUUGAUUUGGGAGCUGCACAGCUUGCAGAAGUGUUUGCAAAGGAUGGAAUUUCUUUCUUGGCCAGUUGUGAAAACCUAUUACCCCGGCCAUGGGUAAUUGAUGACUUGGAGGCAUUCAAAUUAAGCUGGAUGAGAAAAUCUUGGAGGAAGGCUGUCAUAUUUGUGGAUAAUUCUGGUGCAGAUAUUGUGUUAGGGAUUUUACCUUUUGCAAGGGAGUUGCUUCGACGAGGUACACAGGUGAUUCUAGCAGCCAAUGAUUUACCAUCCAUUAAUGAUAUUACUUACACUGAAUUGGUGGAAAUUAUCUCAAUGGUGAAAGAGGUUAAAGACGGGAAGGAGUACAUUCUGGGCGUUGAUGCAAAUAAUCUUCUUGUUGUAAACUCUGGAAGUGAUUUGCCGGUGAUUGACCUUUCAUAUGUAUCACCCGAGCUUGCAUACGUUGCAAAUGAUGCAGAUUUGGUGAUUUUGGAGGGCAUGGGUCGUGCAAUUGAGACCAAUCUUUAUGCCCAGUUCAAAUGCGAUUCAGUUAAACUUGGAAUGGUUAAACAUCCUGAGGUUGCUGAGUUUCUUGGGGGACGGCUUUAUGAUUGUGUGAUUAAAUACACUGAAGUUGUUUUAUGAAAAAUACAAUGAUACAAUUUCAAAUAUGUUAUUUUCCUGGUAUGGAAGAAGUUCUUAUUACAAAGGGGCUGCGUGUUAAACUUUAGUUGGUUUUGGGUUUCUAAAGUACAAUGGAAGUAUAUUGAUUACAAUUUUUUCUAAGCUAUUGCUUGAGAUACCAAUAGCUGAUAUUUGCCUUUCUUUUCAACGGAAUUUUUCCUCGAGUGAUUGGAACGUAAAAGCACUAUUAGUGCCAAAUCGUCAGUUUCUUUGCUCAAUUAAAAUUCUAUUUACGAGCAAUUAGGCAUCCAUGUAGAUGAUUUCUGUUUAAAAUAAUUGUAAUAUUUCUGAUUAGAAAGUGAUGAUUAAUUAUCAAUGCAUACACUUUUCUGUGACA